rnacentral:lncRNA from 15 species
UCCUGUGAUUUGUUAGCUCACAUGGAGUGGCAGGAAUCAGGAGGGUGCUGAAACAACUGCCGGGGAGGAGGUGGAAAUGGUGAACAGCUUCCUUUCUCGAUGUGCUCUCACAACUAAGUACAUGAUGAAAUCUGGUAAGUAUUCCUGAUUUAUAUUACAUUCUAGUCUUUUAUCCUUUCUUCUUUUCAUUCUAAUACUUUGUACAGUAUGAGAUAUUAUUAAUUAUUUUUUCUAAUAUUAUAAUGCAUUAAUAAAACUCCCUUCUAUUUGUCUUAAAUUAAAGCUUGUGAAUGCAUGUACCAUGACCAUUAAUGGGACUUUCCUCCUUGCAAGGUAUGUUCUUUUAAAGCCCGGAAUGACAUGCUAACGAUCCACGCCAUUGGUUGGAACCAAUGGAAGCAGGAUGGCCUUCAUCUUGCUUUAUCCAGCAGAUAUGUCAAGGUAUUGACCAGAUGCCAUGUGACAAAGCUGACAAACAAUAUUAGUUCUGUGUGUAAAUGUGGUUGGAAAACAUGACUGACAACAUGAUUAUCUCAUACUAUGCUUUUCAUGAUUUUCCUCACCUUUCUAAGAUUUUAAGAAGAUGGCAAAGUUUGUUUAUUUAUUUUACUGUAGACUUUCUAAAAGGCUCAAGAAGAGUCUCGGAGGCUGGAAGAUGGCUUUGAGCUCUUUCAAUGCACUACCUAAAUUAAAUAUGAAAUGUUUACUUAUAUUUUUAUUGUUGUUGUUUUUAUUAAGAUUCUCUAGGAACCCAACGCGAUGACCAGCAGAAUCUUCAGCUGUCCAUUGAACAAAUGUUCCUUAGUGUUCAUCAGAAAAAAGCCAGCCUUUAUACUCAAACUGAUAGCAACAAAAUUCGACACUUGCGUAGAAGGAAAUUGAGGGAAGAGAGGUGUCUAACUCCUGGAGACAGUCAAGCUCUAUAAUGAGCAGGUGUCUAAUGAGGAGCAGAUCGAUGUGGUGAAGGUGGAGAGCAGACUCUCUGUGGUUGGAGGAGACACUGGGGCAGAUCUGAUAUGGCCAUGGGAAGUGCACAGCAGUGAAUCCAGCAAUAUCCUCACCAAGAAGAAGAUUUUUGAUGCAUACAUGUCAAAAAUGAGGCUUCAGGAAGAAAGGGUCAUUGUGGUGAGGGAGAUGAGACAGCACUGCACCUACCUCAGAGGACUGGCUGAGAACAUCAGGACAAAGAUGUCAGAAAUGUCCACUGUCAGGACCAGUGGUAGGUUAACUUGUAUGUCCUUGCAGCUACAGUUUGGGGCAUACUAUGG